UUAAAAAGCUCGUAGUUGGAUCAGAGUCGGACAGUGCACGGUGGCCCUGUUUGUCACGGUGGUUCCGAUCACCGUGACGGCAGCGGAUCAACCCCGUGCGCCAAACUGUCCGCUCUAACAGACCGAAACGGUUCCCUGUGAGUAGGCUCCUUAAUUGGGGCUGAAAGCGCUAACGCAUCAACCAUAUGCAUACGGGACGUCGGUCAAUGUUACUGUGAACAAACCAGCGUGUCCAAAACAGGCUUUCGCCUGAAUGUUCGAGCAUGGAAUAACAAGGGAUCGAUUCUCUCGGUUCUUUUUGUUGGUUUUUAACCCGAGAAGGAGUAAUUCAGUCCACGGUGUCUGAGUUGGGUUUCCCUUCACCUCGGUGGAGGCCCCAAUUAGGCCGUGUACUUACGGGAUAAAUAGGGACUGACGGGGUCGUACGUACUUCCACGUCAGAGGUG
rnacentral:rRNA from 1 species